CAGUAGCCGCGGUAAAACGGAGGGUGCAAGCGUUAAUCGGAAUUACUGGGCGUAAAGCGCACGCAGGCGGUUUGUUAAGUCAGAUGUGAAAUCCCCGAGCUUAACUUGGGAACUGCAUUUGAAACUGGCAAGCUAGAGUCUUGUAGAGGGGGGUAGAAUUCCAGGUGUAGCGGUGAAAUGCGUAGAGAUCUGGAGGAAUACCGAUGGCGAAGGCAGCCAUCUGGCCUAAUACUGACGCUGAGGUACGAAAGCAUGGGGAGCAAACAGGAUUAGAUACCCCAGUAGUCCCUGUCUCUUAUAC
rnacentral:rRNA from 1 species